GACGAACGCUGGCGGCGUGCUUAACACAUACAAGUCGAACGGUGAAGCGCCUUCCUUUUUGGUGGGUGUGGAUGAGUGGCGAACGGGUGAGUAACACGUGAGUAACCUGCCCCCUUCUUCUGGAUAACCGCAUGAAAGUGUGGCUAAUACGGGAUAUUCUGGGUCUGUCGCAUGAUGGGUCUGGGAAAGAUAUUGUUUCGGUGGGGGAUGGGCUCGCGGCCUAUCAGCUUGUUGGUGGGGUGAUGGCCUACCAAGGCGGUGACGGGUAGCCGGCCUGAGAGGGUGGACGGUCACACUGGGACUGAGACACGGCCCAGACUCCUACGGGAGGCAGCAGUGGGGUAUAUUGCACAAUGGGCGCAAGCCUGAUGCAGCGACGCCGCGUGAGGGAUGGAGGCCUUCGGGUUGUGAACCUCUUUCGCCAGUGAAGCAGGCCUGCCUCGUUUGUGGGUGGGUUGACGGUAGCUGGAUAAGAAGCGCCGGCUAACUACGUG
rnacentral:rRNA from 1 species